CACACACACACACACACACACACGUAUCCAGAGGUGUUCUGAAGACUAAGUUACACACUGCGAAUGUAAAUACUAGCUUUAACAAAGCAAUAAAUAUUGAAGUCCGUGUAUUGGUAGUAUUCACGCAUGUGAGCGUUGUUUGUCCUUGAUAUCUAUUAGAAUUAAAAAUCUAUUUUUGCAUAUGUCAGAUGGUUAACGAACAUCUUAUUUCAGAUUUUAUUUACACCGGCCUCUGGCAUCAGGAUAACAGAUAUGUGUUUUAAUAACACUUCAGUUCAUGGAGCUUCUCUAAUAAUUCUAAUAAUAUUAAAUUAAUAAAGAGAUGAUAAAGUGAAAUAAGUUUCCAUCAGGAUGGCAAUAAGUUUUCGCAGCAAGCGGAGGAGAAAGAUGAGGGCAGAGAAAAGAAAGAAAUCCGGUCUGGAUGAACCAAAGGCAUAUAAAGAAGGUGAAAGCCAAACGUAUGGCUACAAAAGGAAAACCUAAGAUAAAGAAGGGACUGGCCUGGUAGAUGAACUGAUCUGCUUGUGCACGGACAUUACGCCGGACAGCUCUACAGGAGCUUUGCUGUGCAUCAUUUACAUGUGCAUUUUGUACAUUUCUACAGACUGUUUAUGCAAAAAUGUAAAUCACCCGCAUUGUACUACACAACUGACUCUUCCAGUGAAAUACACAUAUUUCCUCUACUUC